GAUGAACGCUGGCGGCGUGCCUAAUACAUGCAAGUCGAGCGAACGGACGAGAAGCUUGCUUUUCUGAUGUUAGCGGCGGACGGGUGAGUAACACGUGGAUAACCUACCUAUAAGACUGGGAUAACUUCGGGAAACCGGAGCUAAUACCGGAUAAUAUUUUGAACCGCAUGGUUCAAUAGUGAAAGACGGUCUUGCUGUCACUUAUAGAUUGAUCCGCGCUGCAUUAGCUAGUUGGUAAGGUAACGGCUUACCAAGGCAACGAUGCAUAGCCGACCUGAGAGGGUGAUCGGCCACACUGGAACUGAGACACGGUCCAGACUCCUACGGGAGGCAGCAGUAGGGAAUCUUCCGCAAUGGGCGAAAGCCUGACGGAGCAACGCCGCGUGAGUGAUGAAGGUCUUCGGAUCGUAAAACUCUGUUAUUAGGGAAGAACAUAUGUGUAAGUAACUAUGCACAUCUUGACGGUACCUAAUCAGAAAGCCACGGCUAACUACGUG
rnacentral:rRNA from 1 species